rnacentral:rRNA from 1 species
CCGAACUCAGAGAGUCUGACGGAGCACGCCGCGUGAGUGAUGAAGGCUUUCGGAUCGUAAAACUCUGUUGUUAGGGAAGAACGCUUGCUAGUUGAACUGCUCGGAACGUGGCCGGACCCGAACCGAAAGGCCCCGGCUAAUUCCUGGCCACCGCCCCCGGUAU